CGCACGCUUCCGACAGAGCUCUCCUAGUCCUGUAGUCCCCCGUCCAUGUAGCCCAGAGGGGCCCACCCCUAGGGGGUCACGCAGCUCUCUAUCCCCUCAUUGCUUUUCCCUUCCUCAUUUCUCCCCAAAUCUUCUCGCUCGCAGCUCUGGUGCUUUGGGGUUUUCUCGCUCUCCUCGCCGCUGGUUGCCGGAGAAGAGGGUCGCGGGGGCCAGGGGAGCGUGGUCUACGAGGUUUGGUGGUCGUCGAGGAGCUCGAGCUCGUUGUCUAUACCUCCUCUUCCCCGUUCCGCCGUUGAACUCCGCACUGCUAGCAACGAGGGCUGGUCCGUGUUUUGGCGAGGCGGUUGCUUCUGCAUGUCGGGGCGCGCGUUGCUGCUGGGGUCGCGGACAGGGAUCUGUGGAUGAUUUGAGUGCAUCGUCCUCAUCAACGACGGCUAGGCGGAACGAGUUCGAGGGGCCAACAAGCACUUCGAUUUCAUCCUAUUUUGGGGGGUUUUGGUUGGUUCUGCCGUCCUCUUCUCUUCAAACCCCGCAACUAAGUACGAGUUUCUGAUUUUGAGGCACUAGGCUAUGUUAAUGCCUCGUAUUGUGACAUUUGAGCUACUAUCUAUGGCCGAUUUUUGCUUCUGUUCGCAAACACGCAAUGGAAUUUGUUGUGGAUUUGCCAUCGAGCUGUUGUGUGUGCUUGAUUUUUCAGCUAUUCCCUGUGUAGAUGUUGCCCCCGCUAGUUAUCCCUUGCUAGGUAAUAGUCAUUCUGUUGGUAAAAAAAUUUAGGCAAUUUUUAGUCCCAUGACACUUGGACAUGAUGUUUUAUGUAGUUGCAAUCUAUGGGUGGCAAGCAAUUUUGAGGUGUAUUAUUAGGUUGCAUCUUACUUUUGUCAAGCACAGGAUUAUGGUUGAGAUUUUGUCUCUAUGUUCAUGCAUGUUUUUUCCAUGCUGUUAAGUAGUUCAUGCCGAUGCGAUUUUUGCUUCACCCAGGAUUUUUUUUUAUAUGUUUUCUGUUAUAAGCAUUAGUAUUAAAGCAGAUUUUGAUGAUCACAAGCAUUUUUCGAUGAGUUCCAGUAUGCAGGCGUGCAACUUGCAAUAUUUUGAGGGCUUUUAUAGGCAACUUUAUUGAGUAUCAUUUUAGAGCGAUAAGUAUUUUCUUAGCUAGUCAAGCAACUUCUUUGAGUUUAGAGGUUUUUUUGCCCCCCUAGUUAUCCCUUGCUGCACCAAUCAUCCUGGUGGUAAGCAAUUUUAGUUCUAUGAUGUCUAUUUAGUUGUCCAUUUAGUAGUGAUCAAGGGGUUAAUCAUUUUUUUUGUGCAUUAUUUUAGGCUGCAUCCUUUUUUGUCUAGUGCAGGAUUAGGGGUUUAAUUCUUGUACUCUAUGUUCAUACAAUUCCCCCCUGCAGCUAACUAUUUUAUUUGGAAGCGAUUGUGCAUCUGCAUAGGAUUUGCUUUUUCUGGUGUUUGUGUUUAGAUUUUUUUUUAAGUUGCUUUUUGCUGGGAGGUGGGGAUGACCUUAUAAGCUCCUAACAAGUUGCUCUACAGGAUUGAAAUAUCAUAAAUAGUUGCAAUAAAUUUUUAGUCAUAGAACUGUAAUAUUUCUAGAGAUUUAGACGCAAACUACAGGGGGCGGGUGAAAACUUGCUUGGCGAUUAUGUUAGAGGAUUUGCUUCAGGGGUUGGCAACAUGCCACAGGUGUUUUUUCUGCUCUCAUCAAAGUGCAUUCUAAGCCUGAUGCUAGCCAUUUUUAAUUUCCCCUAAAAAGGUUUUGCUGGUUUUUUGGUUUACAUGGCUAAUUAUUUGCAGGGUGCGCCAGGGAAUAAUUUCUCAUUUUUUGUUUCUUUCUGCUGCAAUUUUGUGUUUUGACAUAAGUCACGGUCUUUUAUAAAGGUCCAUCGAUGUUGAUGAUGUCCCUUUUCUUGCUUUGAUAGAGGUUUCUGCAUUUAUCUAGUCACAUGCUUUUUUAUUUCCUAUUAUUUAUCUGGUUUGCAUGAUGACAUGUUGGUCUUUUGUGUGACGAUAAGUUGCUUUUCGACCAAUCGAGCGUUUGAGUAAAAGUUGCAUUUCCAGCCAAAUUUUGAACUAGUACUUGCUAGAGUAGUUACCCUUUUUGCCUUCAAACUAGAAGGAUUUGCCCAACUUAUAAAAGUUGCUUUCCAAUCUGUCAACCCUCGACUAGAAAUUGCAUUAGAGUCAAAUUUGAAGCAAUUAAGCAUUCAUUUGCCUUCAGUUUUUAAAUAGGAGUUGCUGCAUGUGUGUUGACUAUAAGUUCCUUUAGCUUAUCAAUUUUUGAAUACGAGUUGUAUCAUUGAUUAGGCAAACCAUUGAGUAGGAGUUGCAAAUUCUAGGCUGCAGCAGGAGAACUCACAUCUUACUAGGCGAUUGGAGCUCACAUGCCUAUCUCCAGUACCCAAAUCCCACAAUAGAAUUGAGUCCAUUGUCCCCGGGGUGCCUCAUAGUUUUUGCCUGACUGAUUAGGCAUGCUUUGAUUUAGGAAUUGCUUCAGCUUUUGCUUGAAUGACCAUAGCUCUGUCACGGGGGAUGCAGUGCGACUUCUGAAUACAAAUGUGCGCUAAUUAAAUUUUCCCAAUCAUCAAUUGGAUGAUUUGUUUGGGUUAGCUCCGGCCUUUUAUUGUAAAACCAGGGGAAGUUGCAUUUUACUAGCAUUUUGUAAUUUACAUUACUGCUUAGAAAUUGUAUUAGAGAGCCAACUUUUGCCUAGGUUUGCUUUUACCUUCGACUGUUAUAUUUAGUUGCUUUUUCAGCCACUCAACAUUCUAUUUGAGUAAAAGUUGCAUCCCCUAGCUUUAUUUUUUAAUUAGAAGUUGCAACACAUGUAUACCUUUUUUUUUGUUUUUUAGCAUGUUUUUUGCUUCUCCCAAAUUGACUAUAAGUUGCAUUUUGGAGUCAUUUGUUGCCUAAAAUUUUCUUUAGCACCUUUCGCCUGUUACAAUUAGUUGCUUUUUCAGCCACUCAAUUUUUUGAGUAAAAGUUGCAUCCCCUAACUACAUUUGUGUAGAAGUUGAUAUGCAUAUAUAUAUCCUUUUCAGCUUUUUAGCAUAUACUUGCUUCUUUGAUCUGUCAAAUUGGCCAGUAAUUGCAUUUCGGAGAGUCAUUUUUCGCCUAAAAUUUGCUACACAUAUGUAUCAUUUUCUGCUUUUUAGCAUAUAUUCAGCCCUUUUCUGCCUUUUAGCAUUUAGUUGGUUUUUUGACCUAUCCAGUUGACUAGAAAUUGUAUUGCAGAGCCAAUGUUUUUGCCGAAAACUCAUGUCAACGGUUUCUGCAUUAUUGAGCAUAUUGUUUUUUGGCUUUCCAUUUUCCGUGUGUUAUACAGAAGCUUUUUCCAAUCAGUUUUUAGGUCAACCUUUUUAGUACAAAGUUACAUUAUUCAGUUGGUAGACUAAUAUAAGCAAACUUGUAUUCCAUGGUUUUGAGCAACAUUUUGUUCCUAAUUUGUUUCUAGAGAGGAGGAAGAAGUCCAGGAAGAAAUGCGUUCUGUAAUACCUGCAGCAAUAUCCCCUGUACGGAAGGGGGGCAACUUGUGGUGUGAAAGGGAGAGUAGAGGGGGAAAGGUUAUGGAAAAAAAUUGAGGAGGAAGAUGGGAUCGGAGGGGGUGACAGGGGGAGAAGAUGCGACACUUUUGCUUGUUUUUCUUGCCUUUGCUUUUUUGCUUGGCCAAUGGUCAAUUUUACCUGGCUCAGGCCGGAUGACACAACAACACGUGAUUUAUUAUGGCCGGACGCGCGAUGUGUCCGUGGGACCGAAACUUACCUUUUUUUUAGGUAAGCUGGACCAGCACCUACCUUUUUUGGGUGUGCAUCAAUAGGAAACCUAAUAGUGCACGGGCACUCUGUAGCAACGUCAAAAAAAGUUUAAGAAACAAGGCGAUGAUUACGCA